GGGGGGGGCCCGAGGGAGCGCACCUCGGGGAGACACCCUCCUCUCCUGCCGGCCUGCGGGACACGGCCCUCCCCCACCUCCCCUGCUCGGCCGUCGCAGGUGUGGGCGCCUCCGGGCCCUGGCUAGCCCGUUCAGGGUCUCUUUUACAUUGGUUAGUUGAGCCAACUCUUUCCAACCUGGACUGCUGACCUGUGACCUCCCAUUAUUCAAACCAAGGCUGACCUAUGUGGGCAUCUGGAGACCCUUGGCCUUGUUGCUUCACUUAUCCACAUCACCUUCUGAAAUCAAGAUACUUCAUCAAGUUUCAGCUUAAAUGUCAUCUCUUCAAUGGAGUCCUUUCUUGGCUACCUCACAUAAGGGAAAACACAUCCAGAGAGAUGGGGAUGUUCUUGGGAUGAGGUGCUCAUCUCAACUCUGCUGGGAAGACAAGACGCCAACACUCCCUCACAACUCACCCUGUGCUGGGGUAAGAGUACAAAUCAAGAGACACUGCUGCAUGAAUCAAGAUAAGAGCUAGGAAAAAAUCAUGUAUCCUGAGAGAGAAAAGGUACCCUGACACCAAGCCUAAACCCCUAAAUCCAGCCUAGCACUAACAGGGAUAAGGAGGCUCCUUCCAGCUGGAAACAGAACAGCCCUCGUAGAGUUAUUUAUCGCUCGCCUACCAUGUUUAUUAUUGUUUGAGAGCCAGAGAAAGUGGCUGUGUUUACAGCAGGUUAAAGGGAUAUCAGAACACUCCACACAGGAUUCUUGAGGCUCCUAGAGCCCGACAGAGAUUAGAAAGCGUAGAGAUGCCCCUCCUAGACCCACACAUAUUCUCUAAUUACACUUCGUGUGUGUGUUUAUCCAGGGACUGUGAGCUUCUUGGAGAUAGGGGUGAUGCUUUAUAUCCUGUACAUCCUCUCCCAAUCGUCCUUUAGAGGAAAUGAGACUUAUGAAGCAGGAGCUCCAUAAAUAUUUGUGAAACGAGCUCAGUCAGAGAACUGAAUCCGUCCUGACCAGCAGUAAAAGCAGCUCACUCUUCAGCUGAUACUAUUCAGAAUCUAGUAGAUGAGGAGCUAGAGUAGCCAGGGAAGGGGGAAGACAAGUUCAAGGAGAUGCUGCUCCCAGCCCUCCCAGUGGGGUGAGGAGGGUAGCAUCACCUUUCACAGAACAAGGGACUCCAUCUGUUAAAAUCAUUUUUUUUUUUCAAAUUUCUCACUAAGAUUUUUUGAACAUGGUGGUCAAAUCCCCACCAUUUCUCAUUUUAGACAUAAGGCUUAAAAAUAUUUUUUUAAAGGAAUAUAUGCAGGUCCCCUUGCACAGGGCCUGGAAUAUGCCCCCAGGUGCUGGUUUCCUUCUCAUUUUCCCAGUCCUGUGGACUUUAAUUCAUGGAAGUUGCAGUAACCUGAUGCAGAUUCUUUCCUGAAAGCACAAUUUGGCAGGAAAAAGGAGGAGGAGGGCCAAGGAGACAUGUCAGUGAGGAACUCAGGGAAAGGUACUGUUUUGGUGAAUGCUAUAGUUUGGUAGCAAAAAAAAAAAAAAAAAAAAAAAAA
rnacentral:lncRNA from 1 species